GACGAACGCUGGCGGCGUGCUUAACACAUGCAAGUCGAACGGUAAGGCCCUUCGGGGUACACGAGUGGCGAACGGGUGAGUAACACGUGGGUGAUCUGCCCUGCACUUCGGGAUAAGCCUGGGAAACUGGGUCUAAUACCGGAUAGGACCACUGCCUGCAUGGGUGGUGGUUGAAAGCUUUUGCGGUGUGGGAUGGGCCCGCGGCCUAUCAGCUUGUUGGUGGGGUGAUGGCCUACCAAGGCGACGACGGGUAGCCGGCCUGAGAGGGUGACCGGCCACACUGGGACUGAGAUACGGCCCAGACUCCUACGGGAGGCAGCAGUGGGGAAUAUUGCACAAUGGGCGCAAGCCUGAUGCAGCGACGCCGCAUGAGGGAUGACGGCCUUCGGGUUGUAAGCCUCUUUCAGCACCGACGAAGCGCAAGUGACGGUAGGUGCGGAAGAAGGACCGGCCAACUACGUGCCAGCCGCCGCGGUAA
rnacentral:rRNA from 1 species